AAAGAUAGAGGCGCAGGGAACAAGAGUAGCCGUGCAAAAAGCCCCCGGAGGGCGUGCGGCGAAAGGGAACCCUGCCGAAGCGGGAAGAACCGGAAAUCUUCUUCAGGCUGGGCUGUGGGAGAACAUCUUACGGACUGUCACAGAAAUGUGGAGAGCUAUCGU
rnacentral:ncRNA from 1 species